rnacentral:rRNA from 1 species
UACGUAGGGUGCAAGCGUUGUCCGGAAUUACUGGGCGUAAAGGGCUCGUAGGCGGCCAACUAAGUCAUACGUGAAAUCCCUCAGCUUAACUGGGGAACUGCGUGUGAUACUGGAUGGCUUGGAUUUGGGAGAGGGAUGCGGAAUUCCAGGUGUAGCGGUGAAAUGCGUAGAUAUCUGGAGGAACACCGGUGGCGAAGGCGGCAUCCUGGACCAAUAUUGACGCUGAGGAGCGAAAGCCAGGGGAGCAAAGCGGG